UUCAUUUUCCCAAAUCCAGUAAAAAAAAUAUUACCAAGAAUGGGACCUUGCUGAUUGCUGAAGCUUCAAGCCAUUUUCCCACACAGUAUCAUGACCAAGCAUUUGGAAAAACAUCCAGUAAUUUAUGCAGCCAAACCAGGAAAAUAUAGUUCUGUCAUGUGUUUUAUCUCAAUUGGGAAAAUUGCACCCAACUUGGCUCUUGAACAAAUCCCACACUCAAAAUUUAGCUGAUUUACCUAUUCUUCUUGAUCUUCCCACCAGAGCCAUGAUCUUCUGCCUUACUUGAAAACUUUUAGUCUGAUAGAAUCUUCUACCUGCCUUCAGUUAUCAGUCACAAUUGAAAGGUGAUAUGAUAUAAUAUCAAAGUAAGGAAAAUCAUCUCUAUCAGUCCUUUUGGUUACUCCAGGCACCACUUUUUUUUUUUUUUUUCCUGGAAUCAUACCAACAUAUAAACCAUCCUACACAUGAUGUUUAUAUACUAAUUGACAGGAAAAAAAAAGUGUGUGAAUCUAGCCUUUCUUUACCCUUCUUUUUGUGUCAUUCAUGAGUCCUUUGAGAUCUGGUACCCUCAAGAUGAAUUUAUAUUUCAAAUGGAGGAAGAUACUUGACUUAAAAUUAUGUGCAUAUCAACAAUUAGAAUUACAUAUGCAUCGGCUUUUGAAAUUCAUCACAUCUCAAUCAAAAUUCUCGUGAUGGUCUCUGAUCUUUUGUUUUUGUGUAUCUGUCAAAGAAUCUUGCUCAGUUUCUAACACUAAUUAAUUUAAUCCUGCCCAAAAAAAACAAAAGAGAACUGUUUGGUUUUGUAUACCAAUUUGAGGUUGCCAACCGUAGGUCUUUUUCUUGGAUGUGUGAGGAAAUAAGUCCAUGGAGUGCAUAUGAUCAGAUAGAACAAGCUCUCUAUCUCAGCCGAAUCAUAAGUAUACAGUGAGACAACUAUACUGAUCUAAGCUGAAAGAUGGAAUAAUCCUAUUCAAGCAAUUGGGGUUCUAUAGUUUUGCCAACGAGUUACAGUUCCAUUUAAUUUGUUAACUUUAGUUUCCAAAUUUUCCCAAUGUGACAGGCGUCGGUAGCAUAUUCCUGCAAUGAGCAUACCUUGAUGCGUGGCGUGCAUGCACCUUGGCGUGCUGCAGUUACUAGGGAUUCCAUUUGCAGUGAGAUCAAGUCCACUUCUGGCAAUGACAGCCAACGCUGUCCUGACGAGCC
rnacentral:lncRNA from 1 species